UUUAUGGAGAGUUUGAUCCUGGCUCAGGAUGAACGCUGGCGGCGUGCCUAAUACAUGCAAGUCGAGCGAACGGACGAGAAGCUUGCUUCUCUGAUGUUAGCGGCGGACGGGUGAGUAACACGUGGAUAACCUACCUAUAAGACUGGGAUAACUUCGGGAAACCGGAGCUAAUACCGGAUAAUAUUUUGAACCGCAUGAUUCAAAAGUGAAAGACGGUCUUGCUGUCACUUAUAGAUGGAUCCGCGCUGCAUUAGCUAGUUGGUAAGGUAACGGCUUACCAAGGCAACGAUGCAUAGCCGACCUGAGAGGGUGAUCGGCCACACUGGAACUGAGACACGGUCCAGACUCCUACGGGAGGCAGCAGUAGGGAAUCUUCCGCAAUGGGCGAAAGCCUGACGGAGCAACGCCGCGUGAGUGAUGAA
rnacentral:rRNA from 1 species